UUGCGAUUGAUAUUUGAGUGCUCUGUACAGCAGGGCCAGAUCAUGUGUAGAACACUUCGUUGAGCUGUGUAAGUUUUGCUCAGUGUGGAACAUUUUCCGUUUAAUUCAAAACAAAACAUAAACAAUAACAUUGCGUGAAAUGUCAUGUCAACGUCAGAGCUGCCAGUUGAUGACAUUUCGAUCUGUCAUUUUUGACAGUGAACCGGCCGUGCCGAGGGGUCAUAAAAAGGUUGAGUCAUGGUUCAGAGCCUACUGUGUAGUCUUUUAUUAGUCUAUGGCUCAAUCAUCAAAACCGCAGAGUCAUCUGGUGGGCUGACAUCUAAGUUUUCGAGCUUUUCAAUGCCCGCACCCAAUGAAACAAAAUAUGCGCGCACGCACAAAGUCACACAUGGUAGUGAUGUUGUUUUUCGUUCAUCUCUUUCGCACUGUUUUGACCAAAUUUUGACAGAGCGAGGAAAACAUUCAGCGAAAUGGCGAGCAAGUUUUGGAAUUUCAUGAAUAUUAAUCACACACAAAGAAAAAAUACUCUGAAUUUAAAAAGAUCACUCGUUGGAUUAAAAGUUCGCGUUGGCUUAUAUUCGUAGAAAGUUCAAACUUUUCAAUUUAAAAGUUGGAAAGUUUUUGAUACUACCACAAAAUCGUUGUAUCGGUAAAAGUGUUUUACUUUUAAUUGGAAAAGAAACCUUUUAUAGCAAGAAUAAACAACAUUUAAUACACUGAAAGAAACCAGCAUAGUAAUCUCAAGUGAUUUUUCACGUGAGAGUCUCCAAAAAUCAACACGAUAAAUUCACGUGCUUUUCUCAUGGCUCUCACAUGUUUUACAUUUUAAAUGGAUGUGAAAAUAAUUUAAAACCAGCUGAUCGUUAGCGAGCAAACAUCCACUCUUUUUUCGCAUGAAUUUCACUCCAGGUUCAAAUGAAUUUCACAUCGAUUGGCCCCAUUCGACAUUUCCUUUGAUUUCGAAGUGAAAAUCACGUUAAAAUGAAAUGCUUUGGUUUUAGAAUGUGUUUGGCGAAAAAUUCUUCAUUAGUAAGAUGGCCACGGACGAAGGUGGUUCAAAAAUUGCGUUCGGUAUUCAACAUUUUAUUCAGGAAACAAAUUUCCUGAGUUAUUUUAAAUAUUGUGGUUUAAACUUGAGCUUUAACGCUGGUGGUAAGAAAACAGAAAGGAAACAGUUAAGUUUUUCGAAAUAAAUGCAGGGUAAUUUUUUUUUUGCAGAAGAUCAAAUUCCGGUCAUCUUUGGAAUCUGCUCCUGAUCUGGAGCUACAAGGUUGCAAGUUAAGCUCGGUUACGAUGGUGUUAUGUGGAUCUACCACAGGUGGCGCAAGUUUUGGCCAUAAAUUGUCAUCAAGGUGCUCAAAUAUUAUGCCCUGCUGGACCGGUGAACCGCUACGGUCAAGUCGUUUCCAGAGGGCUCAAGCUGACCGAGCAAAAAUGAUCCAAGACGAUCAAGUACUUCUCGAUCUGAUCCGUAGUCCGUCCUUGAUGUUCAUUGUGAAUCUAGAGAAGCUCCGCUUUCAACCUUUUAAUCGGGCCUCACGUUUAAUUUCGUCUGUGGUUUAAUAUCAGUGAAGCCAAAUGUGUUCUGUUAUGUGAUAUAAACAUUUUAAAAAAUAAAAUAAAUAAUUAAAGUUGUAUUUAAAUGAAUUCGUGAAAUAAAUUUAUUUGAAGAAAUUUCCUUUUAUUUUUAAGACACCUAAAAACCACUAGAGAACCAUUUGUUUUCCACUAAAAAAUCAUUGCAAAUUUAUUAGAAAAUAUUUCCAAAUUCAUGUGCGUCAUCACAUGAAACUAACGUGUUUUUCAUUUGAAUUUACCAUGUGGUGCUAUGAAAAUUUUGUAUGUGAUUUACAAAUGACAUUCACAUGCGAAGUCGAAUGGGGCGGAUUCAUGUGCAAAACAUGUGAUGUUACUAUGUGCCUUUCUUUCAGUGUACUACAGUGUUAAUUUCAUAAAAAUGUGCUUGAUUCUAGGCUUGAUUUUAUAUUUAUUUUUAAAAGUUUUAAACAGUAUGUUAAAUAAGACAUUUUGUUUUUGUAUUUAACGCUUCUGGCCAAAAUCCGAGUCCAAGCUGUACCGAUUCUUACACGGAAACUAAAAUCAUGAUUGAUUAUAUAUGCCAACGGCACAUAACUGUAUCUCAGAUCAGCUUAUUAAAACUUAUGAAUUGUCAUUAUGAACUUCGUGUACCACAUAUAAAUUUGAAUAACAAUCAUCAUAGAUUUUAUAUGCGUAUCGCACAUAACCGAGUUUGCUUCCUUCCUAACAAAAAAUAUUGUUUACGCAAAUAAACUUUGUGAGCAUUGCAUAUAAGUUGUAUGUGCGCGAUGCUAUCGAGAAAUUAAAAGUGAGAGUGUGUGCAACAUGGAGUUAAACUUUCUGUGAAGUUGCUGUGAAGAUUACCAUGGCACUUUGAAAAGUUUAACUCCAUGUUGCACGCACACACUCUCACUUUUAAUUUCUCGAUAGAUUUUUGCUGUAUGCUUUUACACAUAAAAUUUACAUGCAAUGCUCACAACAUUUAUGUAUGCGUCUCGGUAUGCGGCCAUAAAACGUUUUUUUCUGAACAAGAUGGCGAAAAUUGGAAAAAAAUUUUAGUCGAGGGUUUUGUGCCAACAUUUAUUGGCAUUUUUCAAUAGUCAAAUUGUUUAAAAGCCUACUGCUAGAUCUAGGGUAGAUAAAUUCAACGCCACGUUGGAGGUAAGUAAGAAAUAUUUGUGACGAAGAUUUUUCUCGACUUCACAUUUUUCUUAUUCGCAGUUGCUCCAAUCCAGCUCCUUUAACCGGAUCUCCCGCCAAAGUGUAAAAAGUGGUUCUCGCAGGCGGACAUUGGCGCCGUCGCUAAAAGCCGCUAAACCUCGUUGUUUGGACGUUCGACUCGCGUGAAGAAGCGGGUUUGAAACGGCGUGAAUCGACGAUCCGUCGGAAAGUCGACUUCCGUGACAGGCAAACCCAGCAUAAGUUUUCCGGAUCAAAGAUGUUCAAAGCUUGCGGUGCUGAGGCCGAUUCCUCAGAUUGGUCAGGUUCUGAAGAUGAACCCCGUUGGCGAGAUCGGGUCUAGCAACAAGAAGGCCGUCGAUCUACAUGCCGGUGCUGAAUUGAAAGGCCACCUGAAGGUCAAAAUCCGACUGGUCCACGAGAAGACGAAGUAACGUCACCGAACACGAGCGAAACGGCCAUGCUGGCUCAGGAAAGCUCGGGCGCUUCUUUGGCAGCACGUCGGACACGACCCGGUGCCGGCGGAGCAAGUGAUGGAGGAAGUGGAAGAAACUGAAUCUUCAAGCUGCUCGACGUGAUUUCUUGUGGUACAAAACGCAAUUGUUUUAAAAAAAAGUAUUUGAAAAAAAUUUCAACAAUACAUUAUAAGAAUUUUUUAAUAUUGGAAGAAAGUUUAAUCAGCAAUUCAACAUUAGGAAUAGUAAAUGAAAACAAAAUACACCACUCUUGAUAAUCAAAAGAAAAAUACAUUGAAAAUUAUGAAUUCUGCACAUACAACUUAUAUGUGGGUGCAUAUCGCCAAAUGUUUUAUUCUGUGAGCAUUGCAUAUACUUUUCAUGUGUCGUGAACAUUUGUAACCAGUGGUUCGGUUAGCUUCAAGAGUGGUGAGACUGUUGUUCCGCGACGCGUAAAUUAGCAUGCCGAAAGGGAACCCUGUGAAAGCUGGAGAGCGGAACAUCCCCACUCGAGUAGCUGUCCAACGCCAAUGGACGCUACCAACGCUGCACGCUGGAGUAGUUGCGCUAGUCACCACCAGAAAGCGCCACGAGAAGGACAAUGGAUUCGUUAGGGCGAAAUAGGAUGAGAAUGGGGCGAAACGGGAAGGAUGGAUGAGGUUGAGGAUCGCUGGAGAAACUGCGCCAUUGGAUCGAUCACUUGCCUGGUAAUUUAAGAAGUGGACGGUCGAACCAGCUACGUUCGCCGUCAAGUGAGAGUGAAGUGGAACCGGCGCGGAAGACCGGAAGAAAAGGGUCCGUCGAUCGGAAGAUCCGGACGAGCUGCAGGAGAACCUGCGCAGAAACUGGACAACCAGGUAGAGGACGAUCCCAAAACAACAAAUCCUCGAAACAGCCAACCCAUCUCCUUUCCGCCAUCUUCUAACGCUGCCCCAUUGUGCCCUACAGACCCCUCGGUGUGUACGCUUCGCGUACCGAUCGGCCAGCCCAACCCUGGGUGCCGGAAGCCCGUGUGACCCACACGACACCCGCAGUGUCCCCUACGGCGAUCGUCACGUCAGACGAUCGCAACUCUACACCGUUCCGGUGUGGGAACUGCCGGUCGCGACGCCGCCAUUUUGUUCCGAGGAACAUCCCAGUCGCGACCAUAACCGCCACCGAAUCUGCCAUCCGUUACAACCCGACGACGCCGGAAACCAGGCAAUCCGGUGGACUUGUCCACCGAAGUCCUGGGUCCGUCAACAAACCCAGGAGCGUCGAGGCAGAAGGCGAGGAGAGGGUCCGAGUACGAGCUCAAGCAGCUGACCGUGAGCACGAAGAGCAGAAGAAGGCGUUCCGCUCCGGUGGAGUGUGCCCCGGAUGCGUGGAGGCGACAACGACGGCGAGUAGCAGAAGCCGGCGAGAACGAGCAGCGGCAGCAGUGACAGUUCCGGAAAGGGGCCCCAAGGAAGAAGGAAGAAGAGGACGUGUGAGGUAGGACUAGAUCAAGGAAGUGGGAAGGACAAGGAAGUGCAGCUUGAGUCUGCCAAAUAGAACUAUCGCGCGAGUACCGCAAUAAAGUGGGUGUUUGUUCAACGGUA